rnacentral:rRNA from 1 species
GACGAACCGUGCGAACGUUGUUCGGAAUCACUGGGCUUAAAGGGCGCGUAGGCGGGGAAGCAAGUCCGGGGGGAAAUCGUUCGGCUCAACCGAACCACUGCCUCGGAUACUGCUUGUCUCGAGGGGGGUAGGGGCAGCUGGAACUUCCGGUGGAGCGGUGAAAUGCGUUGAUAUCGGAAGGAACACCGGUGGCGAAGGCGGCAUCCUGGACCGACACUGACGCUGAGGAGCGAAAGCCAGGGGAGCAAACGGG